AAACACUGCUUGUUCCCUUUGUGCAUUUUGUCUCGCAGUUCUGUUCGAUGUUUCAGUGUGAAUUAUUGUUUCUCUGUCGAGUACAGCACUUUAUUGUAACAUGCUAGUUAGCCAUUCUCAGAUGAGAGCAUAGGAGCAUGCAGGUGACUUCUCAUGUGGUCCGCUAUCCUUCUCUCUCCCUUGAAGGUGUUCAUGCAGAAGUCCAGUAAAGUGAAGUCACUGUACUGUUUUAUUUUUAUUUUAAACAGGUAUGUGAGCUCCCUCUUUUAUUUUUGUGUCAUGUGUACUGGUUAUAUUUUUUGUUUGUGAUUCAUGUUCACUGUUUCAACUUACUGUUAGAUAUAUGUAACUAAAAAAAUAUGUAAAAUUGCCAUUGGUAAAUGAAGUCUCCCUAAACUAUAAUUUUGUUGUUGAGGUAAUUGUCACUAUAUGGUCACGAUGCAGUGCAUUUUCAUUUGUUAUAUAUGAUUAUAAAUGCAUUUUAGCAGUAUUAUUUGUUAAUUAGAUUUUAUUGUGAUGUUGCACCUCAGUCGCCCAGAGGCCCUGCUGAGGAGACGUGUUCAUGCAGAAGUCCAGUAAAGUGAAGUUGCUGUACUGUUUUAUUUUUAUUUUAAACAGUUCUCGGAGAAUAAAUCCACCCAGCUGGCAAAGUGAGAGCUGACUCCUCUGGUCAUUCGCACAACACAACGCAGAGAACUAGCGGCACUCAGAGUUUAAGGCCAGACUGGCUACACAUGCACAGAUUCAUUCUCAACUGGACAUAAAUGAUGAUCAAAGGGCUGUUUGAUGACGAUUUGGACUCCUCUGGGAGAUGAGGACACACCCACAUCUGUUCCAUACUGUAGCCAUGAAUAGUGUUACAGCUGUGAGUCAGCUUUGGGCCAUCAGAUGCACACACUGGAAAACCAGCACCUGGACUUCAUGCAGGAGAGACAGCCUAAUCCAGCAACUAAUCCAGAAGUUAAUCCCUGAGCAAACAGGAAAGGGAAAUGGUGUUACGAUGUACAAGGUGGACUCACGCGCUGGACUCCAGGGAUGAUGCACACAAGAAAAUUUAUUAAAGAACAAUGUCCAAUGAGUGUAUAUACAAAGGUGCGGGGCAGUGCUAUUUACAAGGGGUGCGGGGCAGUGCUGCUAGGUACAAAAGGUGAGGGGGGCAGGGCUCCGGGGAGAAUCCAGGGGAACACGCUCGUCUCUCUCCACACAAUCCAAACACGAACCUACUCGCCCACUCGUCGUUCAGGGAACACCAGGGAAACAGUCCAGGGAGUCUGUACACAAAGAAACGCUUGUUAGAUUCCAAACACACACUGCAGGGGAAAACACUUGCUUAGACGCUCGACUUUCACUGACGCGAUUCUCACAACGAUCCAGCGAAGAACAGCCGUUGCUUCCUGGCUUAAAUAUCAUCCACACUGAUGAGGCACAGGUGUUCCUUCCUCCGAGGGCGUGGGCCAAGGACGUGAACCCAUAAUGAGUUCAGCCCUGGCAAGAGAGAGAGGGAGAACUAGAGAGAAAGAGGGAGAGACAGCUGAUCAGCGAACCUCCAGGCCGUGACAAAUGGAUUUUGAAAUCCAGUUUAUUAAAGUGCAAUUGGAAAAAGGAUUUUGAAAUGCAGUUUAUUAAAUUGGAAUUCAAAAAUGAAUUUACAAAUGCAGAAUUUAUUCUACAAUUCAUUAUUUAAGCACAGAAAUCUUUAUUUCGAUGCGCGUGGCUCUUGUGGUCCUCCAUAUGACUCAGCAGGUGGGGGUAAAUGCAGUUUCUGAGUUUGACUUCGCCUAAGGAAUGCAGAAAUGGCUCCGCUAUGCUCCGGAUGGGGGGUGCAGGAUGCCCGAUAUCCAACCCAAUCCUGGAGUAAACUAAAAGCAAUGAGUUGUAAAUAAGUCAUUUAACAAAAAACGUCUUCAUAGGAUAAUAUUUUUUUCUUGAUGCAAAAAUGUGUAUUGUUAUUUUGUUAAUUACAUAAUGCCCGAUCCUUAAUGUUGUGGGAUAUUAUAAUGAACAUGGUAAGCUGAAAGAAAAUGUCUAACAUAUAUGGUAAUCCUGUUUUUAGAUAAUACACAAUUGUCUUUUUUGCAGGUUUAAGUAUUGAUUGAUUAAUUUGCAGUGGUUUAGUAUUGAAUGAAAUACCUAUUAAGUCCUCUUUAUUUUUGACCAUGAUGUAAUUGUUAUUUCAAUAUUAACCAUGGGUGCAAAUGUUGUGGAAAAUAAACACUAGAAUUCCAA